CGAUGUGAGGGCGAUCUGGCUGCUACAUCUGUCACCCCAUUGAUGGCCAGGGUUGAUUCAGCUGAUCUGGCUUGCUAGGCGGGUGUCCCCUUCCUCCCUCACCACUCCAUGUGCGUCCCUCCUGAAGCUGCGCACUCGGUCGAAGAGGACAGCCUUCCCCGAAUAGAGACGGACGGGUCUUCGAUCGAGGGUAUACGAGUAGCUGCUCUCCCUGGCUAGAACCUCCAAAGAAGCUCUCAAGGUCCAAUAAAUAAAUAAAUAUUGGGUGGGGGAGAUAGCAUAAUGGUUAUGCAAAAAGACUCUCCUGCCUGAGGCUCCAAGG
rnacentral:snRNA from 1 species